rnacentral:rRNA from 1 species
UACGUAGGGUCCAAGCGUUAUCCGGAAUCACUGGCGUAAAGCGUGCGUAGGUGGAUGUUUAAGUGUGAUGUUAAAUCGGUGGGGCUCAACCCUGUCGCUAUGCAUCGCAUACUGGGCGUCUAGAGGACAGCAGAGGCAAGUGGAAUUGGUAGUGUAGCAGUGAAUGCGUAGAUAUUACCAGGAACACCAAUGGCGAAGGCAGACUGCUGGG